UGGGUAUAGGUGCUGGAUCCUGGGAAACAGGUUUAACGGGCGGACUAGUCACCCGCCGUCGCAUCACCCUUGAUACCA
rfam:Ixeridium yellow mottle virus 2, complete genome.